AUACUUACCUGGCAGGGGAGAUACCAUGAUCAUGAAGGUGGUUUCCCCAGGGCGAGGCUUAUCCAUUGCACUACGGAUGUGCUGACCCCUGCGAUUUCCCCAAAUGUGGGAAACUCGACUGCAUAAUUUGUGGUAAAAAAGAAAAAAAAGAAACAAGUUAUGUACUUUUUUU